CAUCUAAGCAUGAAGCCCCCUCAAGAUGAGAUUUCCCAACUUCGGUUAUAAGAUCCCUCAAAGAUGAUGAGGUGAAUAGGUUCGAGGUGGAAGCGUGGCGACACGUGGAGCUGACGAAUACUAAUCGAUCGAAGACUUAAUCAA
rnacentral:rRNA from 1 species